AUGGUUCCUCCUGCACCUCCUCAAGGCAUGGAGCUGAACACUAGCAGCAACAAAAGAAAUAUAUUGGAGGAACCUCCUGAAAAACAGGUAUCCAUUGGACAUAAGGCAGUACAAUCCACAGCAAACUGCUUUGCGUCAACUGACAACGCUAAUCUCCGCAUCCAGAUACCUCCAACAUCAACCGUGCAACUAGAAUCUCCACUUGGAGCUGUGCAAAAUUCAGACUACGGAAAUCCGGACAAAACGAAAACACCAAAACCAAGUUUACGUGCACCAGGACUGCCAGCUGUUAUUGGACGACUCAAUUUGAGUGAUGGCAGCUGCACCUCAACACGUCGUGAGCUUCAGUUCAGUAUUGCAAACAACCUAGAUGGCCAAAACGAUCCAGCUGAUCCAGUACAGAUCCCAUCUCCCAAAUGUCCCCGUACACCUUUCCAUUUCCGUUCCCAGAGCCAGAGUGAUACUAUAAGCGGAUCAAUUGGAUGGUCAAGUAAGCGAUCCCGAAUAGAUGUGGCAAGAAAGCUGGACUACAAGAAACACAAAACAUCACGUAUUUCAGAUGUCAUGCAACAAAUGGCUACUCCACAAGAACCAACAGCUCCAACUAUACCAUCCGCAUCUUCCAACUCCAAUUUCCAAGGCGAUAUAACUCCAGCAGCAGGCAUAGACUGUAGCAAACUCCAAGAGAAACAUGUGGAACUCAAGGCAUACAGCCAACGACGGGCAAAACAUACUACCCAAACCCAUAGUAAACAGCAACCUUCAGGUGACAAUGUAUUGUACUCUAGUGCUCUCGGUAUGCAUGUGGCAUCCAUGGAGUCAAGUUAUGGACACAAGACAAGCAGCACUGUUGAUGAAAUGAUCCUCACACAUUCAGAUUAUCGGACUUCCAACACACUCGCUGCGCCAAAAUGGGAUUCAAGUCCAACAUAUGCUCUGGGUGGCAGCUCAUCAGGCAUGGACCUCCUAGCAGCAGUUGCAUCAGGUAGCUAUGAUAGCAGCAUAGACCGUUUUGCACAUAAGAUCAACAGAAGCAUAUUUUCAUCUUCUAGCACGCGGCUGCCUCCAACAUCUGAAGCCGACGGAUCACCCUCAGAGAAAACCCACAAACCUGCUCGUGCACCAUUUCAAAGGUUAUCAGUAGAUGAGCCUGAUGUCUCUGACGUCUACACAACAUAUGAUACAAUACAGAAAUGA
rnacentral:rRNA from 1 species